UGCCCAGCAGCUCCUAUCCCUACCUCCACGUGGUACCAGGCGGAAACUAUGAGCAACCUUAGGGAAGAUCGGGUAACCAACCCCUGUGGAAACUAUGGUCGUAGGCUGACAGGGAAGG
rfam:Aedes albopictus isolate Foshan contig5456, whole genome shotgun sequence.